rnacentral:snoRNA from 1 species
GGAUCGAUGAUGACACCCUCACAUGCAUUCCUUGGAAAAUCUGAACAAAAUGAGUGAGAACUCACU